UUGGACUCUCUGUUCUUCUUGUCUUAUUGCAUUGCAAAAGGAGUGAACUUUAGGUGACUUCUCUCUUUCACUUUUACCUCUUUUCUUUAAACUGUUAUAUGCUUGCUGAAAUCUUAGGUGUCGCUGUGUGUUUUUUUAUUUUUAAUUUUGGGUGUCAUAAUUUGUUUGACUUUUGAAAUUGGGGCUGUUAUAUGAAAUUCAUUGUCAGUUGGUGUUGAUUAGGGUUCUGAGCUUGAUUGUGAAGAAACCAGACCUGUAGAGGCAGUUAUGUGGUAUAUGGAAGUUGAUGAAUACCCAUUUCAGGUUGUACGUAUGCUUGAAGCUGAUGAAUACCAUUUCAUGAGGUCAAGAAUCCCAUAGCUCGCAUUGAACACGAAGCCAGUACCUCCAAAAUUGGUGAAGACCAGCUAUUUUACUUUCAGCAAAGGGGAAUAGAUUAUGAGAAAGCCAUGGCUGCCAUGAUAUCUAGUUUUUGCGUGGCAGUAUUGUAUGAGCUUCCUGAUGAGUUUGGGUCUGAGGUGAAUCAAAUGAUCAACUUGAAGAUUGAAGGAACAGUGGGGUAGAAAAUUGUUCGUUAUAUAUAAGAUGGCUAGAAUAUGCAUAGGUGAUGCGUAGGAUAGCCCAAGGAUUUCCCCUCUAUACAAUCCAAUUUGGUGCAUGAUGUAGAUUAUAACAAUCUCUUUUAUAUAUUGAUCUGUUAAUUUGGUCAUUUUU